rnacentral:ncRNA from 1 species
CCAAAGGCUCUUUUCAGAGCCCCCCACUUUCUCAAAGAAAGAGCUG